rnacentral:lncRNA from 1 species
UAAAAAAACAGCUGAGAGAAACAAAAGACAAGAAAAAUGAAAACUCAUUUGAGAAACAGGUCUCCUGUCAUGAAAAUUCUAAAAGCUGUAUAAGAAGAAAAGCCAUCGUAAGAGAAGAUCUAUUAAGUGCAAAAGUUUGUGACUUGAAGUGGAUACAUAGUAAGUUACUUUUUGCUUGUGGAUUCUACCUUUUUUUUUGUUGUUUUUUAAUUUAAUGGUUGUGUCAGAGUUCUCAUCAGUAACACUUCAGGCUGGAAAAUAGUCCUCAGAACUCUGUACAUUGUGUUAAAUCCUACAUAAAUUUUGUUUUCAUGGAGCAAUUUA